UACGUAGGGUGCAAGCGUUAAUCGGAAUUACUGGGCGUAAAGCGUGCGCAGGCGGUUAUGUAAGACAGGUGUGAAAGCCCCGAGCUUAACUUGGGAAUUGCGCUUGUGACUGGCGUGCUGGAGUGUGGCAGAGGGAGGUGGAAUUCCACGUGUAGCAGUGAAAUGCGUAGAGAUGUGGAGGAACACCGAUGGCGAAGGCAGCCUCCUGGGCCAGCACUGACGCUCAUGCACGAAAGCGUGGGGAGCAAACAGG
rnacentral:rRNA from 1 species